rnacentral:rRNA from 1 species
AAGGAAUAUUGGACAAUGGAGGGAACUCUGAUCCAGCCAUGCCGCGUGAAGGAAGAAGGCGCUCAGCGUUGUAAACUUCUUUUGGAUGGGAACAAAUGCGAUCCUGCGGGGUCGUUUGAGGGUACCAUCAGAAUAAGCACCGGCUAACUCCGUGCCAGUAGCCGCGGUAAUACGGAGGGUGCAAGCGUUAUCCGGAAUCACUGGGUUUAAAGGGUGCGUAGGCGGUGUGGUAAGUCAGUUGUGAAAUUCACCGGCUUAACCGGUAGGAGUGCGAUUGAUACUGCUUUACUUGAAUCAGGUUGAGGUGAGCGGAAUGUGGCAUGUAGCGGUGAAAUGCAUAGAUAUGCCAUAGAACACCGAUUGCGAAGGCAGCUUGCUGGACCUUGAUUGACGCUGAGGCACGAAAGCGUGGGGAGCAAAC